GUGGGGGGGGUGGGGGACCCGGGAUUUUUCUUUGAAAAAAAUAGAAUUGUUCAAACCGGCCUUUGCUUGGAUACCUUAACCUGGGAUAAUUAAAUUGGGAGGGGGGGUUUUAUUUGUUGGUUUCUAGGGCCGCCGUAAUGAUUUAUAGGGAAUAUUGGGGGCCACCGUAAUCCAAUGUUCGAAGGGAAAAUUUUGGAAUUUAUGAAGGCUAAAUUAUUGGAAAACCUUUUCCCAGGAUGUUUUCCUUAAACCAAGAACGAAAGUUAGGGGAUCGAAGACGAUCAGAUACCGUCGUAGUCUUAACCAUAAACUAUGCCGACUAGGGAUCGGGCGGUGUUAUUUUUUUGACUCGCUCGGCACCUUACGAGAAA
rnacentral:rRNA from 1 species